rnacentral:tRNA from 1 species
GUCCCCAUCGUCUAGCGGUUAGGACAUCGCCCUUUCACGGCGGUAACAGGGGUUCGAAUCCCCUUGGGGACGCCA